rnacentral:rRNA from 1 species
UACGUAGGUGGCAAGCGUUGUCCGGAAUUAUUGGGCGUAAAGCGCGCGCAGGCGGUCCUUUAAGUCUGAUGUGAAAGCCCACGGCUCGACCGUGGAGGGUCAUUGGAAACUGGGGGGACUUGAGUGCAGGAGAGAAGAGUGGAAUUCCACGUGUAGCGGUGAAAUGCGUAGAUAUCGGGAGGAACACCAGUGGCGAAGGCGACUUCCUGGCCUGUUCUUGACGCUGAGGCGCGAAAGCUAGGGGAGCAAACGGG